AUACGUAUGGUGCAAGCGUUGUUCGGAAUUACUGGGCAUAAAGCGCGCGUAGGCGGCCGAGUCAGUCGGGCGUGAAAGCCCAGGGCUCAACCCUGGAAGGGCGUCCGAUACUGCUCGGCUUGAGUACGGGAGAGGAGAGUGGAAUUCCCAGUGUAGCGGUGAAAUGCGUAGAUAUUGGGAGGAACACCGGUGGCGAAGGCGGCUCUCUGGACCGUUACUGACGCUGAGGUGCGAAAGCUAGGGGAGCAAACAGGAUUAGAAACCCCGGUAGUCC
rnacentral:rRNA from 1 species